UCCAGGAUUUCUCUCAUCCUAAGGUCCUGUCUGAGUUCCCAGCAGGCAUGCUAAGAGAAAUCUCUGGUGCCUUUGGGAGAUGGAGGACAGUCCAUCUUGAUUCAUAAAAAUUCCUAGAAUGUAGGAACCAGAAGGACCCUCCCCUCAACUGCUUUAUUUCCAAAUGAGGAAAUUGAGACCCAGAGAAGUGACUUGCCAACGUGUAAUGACUGGGAGCUGUACCUCAGGGAAGACUGGUCUGUCUUUCCUGUAAAACUCUCCCGUCAGAGCUGCUUUGAGCUGACAGAGAAGGACGUGCACCCUGUCUCCAGGGGCAGGCAGCGAGCUCUAUAAAAAGGAUGGUCUGUGUGUUUAUUCUGCCUCCUGUUAUCUUUGGCGUGGCUUUGCAUGCCAAUCCUUAACCCUUUGCAGAGCUCUGGGCAGUGUCUCCAUGGUAGAUUAGGAAGAGGGCAAGGCAAGUCCUUGGAAGAGCAGAAAAUGUAGAAAGUUCCUAACAGAGUGUAUAGAAGGAAAUGGGCUGGAGGAGACUGCGAGAAGGAGUCCGAGGGAGGGCUAGGAGUCGAGAAUGCCGGCUGUCAGGGCUCCUCCACCAGCCCAACAGCACUUUUAACAGAUUUUCCUUAUUUGUCAGUGAAGGGGAUUUCAGAUCAUUCAAGAUGGACUCAAGUGGUUGCUAAGGCAACAGUGUUACCGUCGUCACUGCCAUGGAAACCUUUUGUGUGGCAUAAUAUAAAUAUUUUCUUUUAAGAAUGAGACAGGGAGUUGAGUGGGUGACAAGUUAUUUUCUUUCUAAUGCUUAUGGGCUGUGACUAGAGCCUGCAAUGGAUGAGGACGGAGAGGACCAAAUUAGCUCAGAUUCUAUAUAGUUUACAGAACAGGCUGCUUUUAUUUGUUUUUAGAUAUGAGCCAAAAAAAUUAGAGGGAGGGGCAAAAAUAUCAAUGAAAAUAAUCCAUAGUUCUGAAGUGGAGAGAGUUUCUAAAUGUUUCCAAGUCAAAAUUACACUACAGCCCAGACAGCUUUCAAUUCACAAUCUCUUCGUUGAAUGACAGGAGAGAAGGAUAGGAGGAUAGGAGGAGAGAGCUGCUCAAAGGCUGCAGCUAUGGAACUCUGGCAACUUUGGGCCCUUGUUGGCAACAAUGGACUAGAGCUGAAAGCAAAUGCCCCCUCGAUGAAGAAACCAGCUCAUCCACAAACCACAGCGCAGCACGUCAGGAGUGCAAGAGAGGAAGUUAGGCUCACCAAGUUGCGAGGUCCUUAACAGCUGACAGGGCGAACCCUGUGAUCCUUCUCAAAUAUAUGUUAUGUUAACAUUUGCACUCGCAGCUAGAAGCAUCUUACUGACAAGGCACAAGAAGAUCUGCAAUUUCCCUCUUCCUCUCUGUGAGGCAGGGAGAGAGCAGGUAUGACUAAUAACUACCAUUUCGCAAAGCUCUGCUGAAGCCAGAGAGAGAGUGGGGGCGUUCCCUGUGAGCUGCACUGGGAAUAGCCCAGGACCUGAACCUGUUCUUGGCUUGAAUCCUGGCUCCACUAAUGACUCUGGGACUUUAAGCAAUUCUCUGUCUGAGCCUCAGUUUGCCUAUCUGCAAACUGUGGAUGAUGCCACCUAUUUUGUUGGGUUGACGUGCCGACUAGACAUAUUAACAGAGGAGCGGGGGAGGUGUUUGAUGGAUCCACAGUUCCACGCUGAAUUGGCAGUGGUAGCUCAGACCCAGGCCAAUAUCCACGCAUGGUGUGUCCUCUUCGCAGAGUGUUUUGAACACUGUGGGGAAGGCUGCCUAUACCUCUUAGUGCUCAGGAUGGUUUAGAUUGCAAAGACAGAUUUUUUUAAAUCUUUAAAGUGUUUUUGUGAAAAUAAAAUUUAAU